AUAGACUGACAGGGUGCAGGUCAGACCGCCUACGGGUGGUUUGUUAAACGGGAAGCUGGUGUGAAUCCAGCGCUGUCCCGCAGCGGUGAUGGGAACGAAAGGUUGCGCGGCGCGAGCCAAGCACUGUCUCUUGUGAGAUGGGAAGCGGCAACGGAGUAGGGUGCCCAGAGUCCGAAGACCGAGCCUGCCGCCACCACCAUGG
rnacentral:ncRNA from 2 species